CCGCUGAAUUUAAGCAUAUAACUAAGCGGAGGAAAAGAAACUAACAAGGAUUUCCUCAGUAACGGCGAGUGAAGCGGGAAGAGCCCAGCACCGAAUCCCCCAGUGUCAUGCUGGCGGGACCUGUGGUGUGUGGGGCGCCACCAGUCGCACAUGUCGGCACCGAAGUCCUCCUGAUUGAGGCUUCACCCAGAGCGGGUGUAAGGCCUUUGCUGGUGCUCGACUGUGCGGCCGCGAGCGCCUCAGGAGUCGGGUUGUUUGGGAAUGCAGCCCAAAGUGGGUGGUAAACUCCAUCUAAGGCUAAAUACUGGCACGAGUCCGAUAGCGGACAAGUACCGUGAGGGAAAGUUGAAAAGA
rnacentral:rRNA from 1 species